AUUGAACGCUGGCGGCAGGCCUAACACAUGCAAGUCGAGCGGAUGAAAGGGGCUUGCUCCUGGAUUCAGCGGCGGACGGGUGAGUAAUGCGCAGGAAUCUACCUAGUAGUGGGGGAUAACGUUUCGAAAGGAACGCUAAUACCGCAUACGUUCUGAGGAAGAAAGCAGGGGAUCGUAAGACCUUGCGCUAUUAGAUGAGCUUGCGUCCGAUUAGCUAGUUGGUGGGGUAAAGGCCUACCAAGGCGACGAUCGGUAACUGGUCUGAGAGGAUGAUCAGUCACACUGGAACUGAGACACGGUCCAGACUCCUACGGGAGGCAGCAGUGGGGAAUAUUGGACAAUGGGGGCAACCCUGAUCCAGCCAUGCCGCGUGUGUGAAGAAGGCCUUCGGUUGUAAG
rnacentral:rRNA from 1 species